AUAAAAUAAAUAAUAUAAUAAAGAUACAAAUAAACUUUAAACAUAAAAUGCAAAAUAAAAUAAAAACUUAAAAAAUAAUGAUGUAAAAAUGUGCAGUUGCAUUACAUUUCAGGUGCUUCCCAUUCAGAUGUUUCUCCGUCUUGUUUCAUCCCACUUUUUAAGCAAAUAAGUCUAUGAGGUUGGCAGAUGUAGUGUUGGCUUCAAGAAUUUGCUCCUUGCAUUUGCCUUUUAGGAUUUCAAUAGACUUCGUUAGGAGCAUCUGUGAUCAUAUGACUAGAGGUUUUAUUAUCUGUGCACUAUUCCAUUCUAUUUGCAUGUCCUUGGUGCAAGCUUCUAUGGUGAGAGCUGGGGUUAGUUUGCCUGUGGCUAUGUCUUUUUUAUGCUCCUCUACUCUUUGCUGUAAUGUUCUUGUAGUUACACCUAUAUAAGCUGUGCUCUGGUGGGUGUUAAGUAUUUUG
rnacentral:lncRNA from 1 species